GUUUCGAAAGGAACGCUAAUACCGCAUACGUCCUACGGGAGAAAGCAGGGGACCUUCGGGCCUUGCGCUAUCAGAUGAGCCUAGGUCGGAUUAGCUUGUUGGUGAGGUAAUGGCUCACCAAGGCGACGAUCCGUAACUGGUCUGAGAGGAUGAUCAGUCACACUGGAACUGAGACACGGUCCAGACUCCUACGGGAGGCAGCAGUGGGGAAUAUUGGACAAUGGGCGAAAGCCUGAUCCAGCCAUGCCGCGUGUGUGAAGAAGGUCUUCGGAUUGUAAAGCACUUUAAGUUGGGAGGAAGGGUUGUAGAUUAAUACUCUGCAAUUUUGACUUUACCGACGGAAUAAGCACCGGCUAACUCUGUGCCAGCAGCCGCGGUAAUACAGAGGGUGCAAGCGUUAAUCGGAAUUACUGGGCGUAAAGCGCGCGUAGGUGGUUUGUUAAGUUGGUAUGUGAAAGCCCCGGGCUCACCCUGGGAACUGCAUCCAAAACUGGUUAGCUAGAGUACAGUAGAGGUGGUGAAAUUUCCUGUGUAGCGGUGAAGUGCGUAUAUAUAGGAAGGGAACACCGGUGGCGAAGGCGACCACCUGGACUGACUCUGACCUGGAGGUGCGAAGCGUGGGAGCACACGGGAUUACAUACCCCUGGUAGUCCACGGCGUAAACCAAUGCCAACUAGCCGUUGGAAUCCUGGAGAUUUUAGUGGCGCCUCUUAAUGCUUUAAGUUAACCGCCUGGAGAGCACGGCCGCAAGGUAU
rnacentral:rRNA from 1 species